AGCAGCAUUGUACAGGGCUAUGU
rnacentral:ncRNA from 4 species